rnacentral:lncRNA from 1 species
GAUGAUGGACAGAGGCAGGUUUGAUGCCUUGAUUGUGGCCUGCAAGCAAGUCAGUGCUUCAUGAGUAUGUAGUGACACGUUGUGCUGCUGUUAGGGGCCUUACCCGGCAGAACCUCUCAUUGAAGUUGUGUUGGACAACUUCAUCCAUGACUUUAUUAACCUCUGCAACAAAAUCCCGGUCCCAGGCAUCCCGCUGCUUGCGUCCCUCGGCGAGUAUGUCAUCCUUGCUCUUCUUGCUUGAUUUUAAGUUUGCACUUCUCUCUCCUGGGAAGCUGUGGGGUUCCAAGGGAAGAAGGAACAAGGCAAUUCCCAGGUUGUCAUGCUUAUGCUUUUAAGGGCAACAACAUCAGCUUUAAACCAGCCAUCUGGCAAAAAAGAAAAGAAAANNNNNNNNNNNNNNNNNNNNNNNNNNNNNNNNNNNNNNNNNNNNNNNNNNCACGAUGCGAUUGUAGUGUUCGUGGACCGGCUGAGCAAAAUGACGCACUUUGCUCCCACACACACAACCGCUACAGCUGAAGAUGUAGCCCGCCUCUUUGUGGCUACCGUCUUCAGGCAGCACGGCCUUCCAAAGAACAUUAUUUCAGACCGGGACUCUCGCUUCACAAGUAAUUUCUGGAAGGAAACAUUUCGCCUGUUGGGCACCCACCUCUAUAUGAGCACAGCUUUUCACCCGCAAACAGACGGGCAAACGGAACGCAUGAAUCGCGUGCUGGAAGAGACACUCAGGCACUACAUAUCACCCACUCAAGAUGAUUGGGAUGAGCAUUUGCCACUGAUUGAGUUUGCCAUAAACAACUCAAAACAGAAGGCAACGGGGACAACUCCGUUUUCCCUGAAUGGUGUUCGACAACCACGUGUGCCGGUUGACCUUCACCUCAAAACUAAGGUGCCACUCGGGGAAAGACUUGGUCAUGGAUGGGUUUUCCAGUCAUGGAUUUGGUCAUGGAUGCGGUCAUGGAUCCGGUCAUAAUUUGUCAUUAAGUCAUGGAUCCGGUCAUGGAUCAGUUCAUAGUUUGCAUAAGCAAGUGCAGGAUAUGACUGGUUGGGGUCAUGAAAUGCAUGGUCAUGAUGUCAUUUAUGAUGGGAUUUAUGACAGGUCAUGGGACCGCAAUGACCGUAUUCAGUCAUGGCUGCACUUUAUGACCCCAUGAGGUCAUAAAGGUGGUCAUGUACCUGCUCAUAAAUAUGCGGAACAUGACCAGGUCAUAUUGCGCAUGGUAUUCCAUGACGCAACAAUGCAGGCCAUGACCACCCUGGCCCAUGUUUUGCACUCAUUCCAUGAGUCGUACACUGCACUCCAUGACCACCCUGGCCCAUGUUUUGCUUGGUUUACAUGACUCGUACACUGCAUUCCAUGACCACAUUGGCACAUGUUUUACAUUGUUUACAUGACUCAUACACUGCACUCCAUGACCACCCCUGGCCCAUGUUUUGCACACAUCUCAGAAGUUGUUCACUGUGGGCUUAUAAGUCAUGACCAGCAACCCAUCAAUAUGUGGGCUCCAGACUCCAAGUCUGCUAUCACAAAUAAAUGUAUGUACUCCAACACUCCACACCGUUAAGGUGACAAACCUCAAUGUUUCAGUGGAUCACUCAGGUAAAUCACCCACCAGUAGCAUCCUAUAGAGUAAGCCGGAUUACCUGCAGCUCAACUACAUUCCUGAACCACAACUGCCUUCCAUUAUCAAUAUCAUAACUAUGAACUUCACUCCUUGCAGGUCUCAAUCCGUAAACCUCCAGGGACUUAAGUGUGUGCAUUAGUAGUAAUGCCUGACCUCAUACAUUUCUCUAUAUGCCACCAAGCCAUCUAUUACAGGCCACAAAGAUUGUCAACUCCAGCAUCCUGCUGCAUGCCUGCUAACCCACCGCCUUGCACUUCCCCAGCAGUCUCUUCCUUGCUGGCCCCUGCUGGCCACCUUUGCCCAGCUUGGCUGCUUCUUUCACUGCACCUGCCCUGGCAGCUUGUUUCACUGCAGCAAGCUCAGCCCGCAUCUGGUGAGCAGUGAUGGCGGUGCACCACGUGGUUUCAUGGUCAGGCAUCCCAUAUGCACCACCACCAGUGCCACCCGUCGCCAUGGUGUCCCCAUACUCUGCGAUGACAUCGUCAAGUCUCUCGCCAAUCAGGUCCUCCAGGUAGUCACCCUCUGGCUCACAACCAGCUGGCCCCAUAAUUGUUUUGCCAGCAAUCACAGCCGCCUCCGGUGCAGCCAUGGCCAUCUGAGCUGAGACCUGCUAGCAGAACAUCAAGAUGUGAGCAUAUGUAAGGCCCCAAAUGCAUGAUACUGGUGCCCUGCAAUGUUCAGGAACCUACAAGCAACUGCAUGACAUGUGCCAUGGAUACAUCCACAACGACAUGUCAUAAUACAUCAUGUCAUAACCCAUACCCCGCGUACCUGCUGCUGCUUUGGUGGCACCACUGUUCAUCGCACCCAUCAUGACGGCUGGGGCCGUGGCAGGGGUCUGGCCAGAUCCCUGCAAAUGCAGCAUAAGGGCCAAAUUCAUAUAGUCUGUUGGAAUAAUAGUUUAGCAGCUGGAGGGAUGCUCGGGGGGCCCUUCCUCAUCCAUUCACCUGGACAUCCGAAGAGACGGAGGGUUCAGAAAUCACCACCUAUCCAGCGUGCGAACCUGACCAAUCAACUUUAAUCCUCCACAUCUCAGCAGCUAGCUUACCCUCGUUCCCCCGAACUUGGGAAAUCUCCCCGGGAAUUGAACCCAGGAUCAUAAACCGCUAACACAGUAGAGUCAGCCCACAACUAUUUAACAUGGAUGAUGGACAGAGGCAGGUUUGAUGCCUUGAUUGUGGCCUGCAAGCAAGUCAGUGCUUCAUGAGUAUGUAGUGACACGUUGUGCUGCUGUUAGGGGCCUUACCCGGCAGAACCUCUCAUUGAAGUUGUGUUGGACAACUUCAUCCAUGACUUUAUUAACCUCUGCAACAAAAUCCCGGUCCCAGGCAUCCCGCUGCUUGCGUCC